CCUACGGGCGGCAGCAGUGGGGAAUAUUGGACAAUGGGGGCAACCCUGAUCCAGCCAUGCCGCGUGUGUGAAGAAGGCCCUCGGGUUGUAAAGCACUUUCAGUGGGGAAGAACGCCUGGUGGUUAAUACCCAUCAGGAAAGACAUCACUCACAGAAGAAGCACCGGCUAACUCCGUGCCAGCAGCCGCGGUAAUACGGAGGGUGCGAGCGUUAAUCGGAAUUACUGGGCGUAAAGCGCGCGUAGGUGGCUUGAUAAGCCGGUUGUGAAAGCCCCGGGCUCAACCUGGGAACGGCAUCCGGAACUGUCAAGCUAGAGUGCAGGAGAGGAAGGUAGAAUUCCCGGUGUAGCGGUGAAAUGCGUAGAGAUCGGGAGGAAUACCAGUGGCGAAGGCGGCCUUCUGGACUGACACUGACACUGAGGUGCGAAAGCGUGGGUAGCAAACAGGAUUAGAUACCCUAGUAGUC
rnacentral:rRNA from 1 species